rnacentral:rRNA from 1 species
UACGUAGGGUGCAAGCGUUGUCCGGAAUUAUUGAGCGUAAAGAGCUCGUAGGCGGUUCGUCGCGUCGGCUGUGAAAACCCGGAGCUCAACUCCGGGCCUGCAGUCGAUACGGGCGGACUUGAGUGUUGCAGGGGAGACUGGAAUUCCUGGUGUAGCGGUGAAAUGCGCAGAUAUCAGGAGGAACACCGGUGGCGAAGGCGGGUCUCUGGGCAACUACUGACGCUGAGGAGCGAAAGCGUGGGGAGCGAACAGG